GAUGAACGCUGGCGGCGUGCUUAACACAUGCAAGUCGAACGGGACUUACUUUAUUGAAACUUCGGUCGAUUUAAUUUAAGUCUAGUGGCGGACGGGUGAGUAACGCGUGGGUAACCUGCCUCACACUGGGGGAUAACAGUCAGAAAUGCGGACUAAUCCCCCAUAGUCCUGGAGGCUGCAUGGCCUUCAGGGGAAAGGUCAGCCGGUAGGGGAUGGGCAUGCGGCGCAUUAGCUAGUUGGCGGGGCAACGGCCCACCAAGGCGACGAUGCGUAGGGGUUCUGAGAGGAAGGUCCCCCACACUGGUACUGAGACACGGACCAG
rnacentral:rRNA from 1 species